UUUAAUCAUGAAAUUAAAGUAUACCCUUGCACGUGAUAUUUUGAUCAGUCAUUAACAACCAAUUUUUAUUGGACGCUGUAUACAGACAAUCACUGUAUUGUGUAUAUCGUCUGAGCAUUAUGACAUACAUUUGUGUCUAUCAAAAUUUGCUUCUUUGGUCAUUCUGUACCUGACGAGGAUACUGAUUACACAAAAAGUCGCUUUUUCGAUAAUUUUAAGUUUUAUGAAUUGUUUUAAUUUUAACGACAAUUGAUUUGGUUUGAAAUUCCCUGUUAAUAAUUGUAGGCCAAACCAGUUGGGAGGGUGCGUAAGGGAUUUAAUUUCACGCGUGAUUAACCUAGUGGCCGUGUUUGACGGUUUUAUGUUUGCAAACAUAUCAUUUUUCAAAAAGUAAUUUAGACAAUUUCUAAGGAGACAAGUACCUAACGAUCUCUGUCAUCCCUUUCUCACGAUGAAGUUUUAAGAUAGUGAUAAUGUAUAUCAAAUUCCGACGAAAUUUGACAGCAGGAGUACCAAAUAUAAUUACCAAAAAAAUGAACAAAAAUAUUAAAAUAUUUUUCUAAAUUUCUUUAAAAUUAUAAUGAGCACAUGAAUUUUCAAAGCUGUAUUAAAACCGAAGAAAACGCUCAAUAAAAUUGUUUUUGGAAUAUAUUCACAAGGAUUAAAACAUGACAAUUAAACAUAAAACAACUCAAGGAACUCAAGAAACAGAAAAAAGAACAAGAUGGAAACAAAGAAGAUGACCGUGCUAGUACUAGUACUACCCAAGAUGUUGAAGAGGUGAUUCAAGAAGAAACAGUGCAAGAAGGAAGGGAACAAGAUGAAAUCGAAGGUGACCAUGCCAGUACUAGGCAAGAUGUUAAAGAUGUGAAGAUAGAACCUAUGGACAUUGAUGAGGACGAGGUCAUAACUGAAAAACUUGUGUCACGAAAACGUAUUUUAGAAGAGCAGGCGAGAGAACUCCCAAGAAGAACAAGUUCGGUUAGAGUACAAAUAUUCUGAAAUUCAAGAGUAAUUGGAGGACAUUUUUUAUCUUAAUAUAUAGUUGGAAAUCUUAUAUAUAUACAUGUAUGUAAGUCCCUUUUUUAAUCCAGGUUUCGUAAUUAUCAC